CCCUUUUAGGCAGAAUGUCUGCUUUCCUACCAGGAAGAGUGGCUUGGCCCUCUGCUGAGGCUCUCAGAGGUUCUCCCAGCCUUGGGAUCGCUGAGUAAAACCAGUCAGCACCAUGUCACCCUAUGGAGACUGGCCUCCAUCCCUGGGAUUUGCUGGUAGAAGAAAGGGAAUCAGCGCUGACUGAGCUCCUACUAUGUGCCCUUCCUGGGCCUGGCACUGGAAUCACAGGAUGAAUGAAUAAGGCAUAUUUCCUGCCCUGAGGAGGCGUCUAUAGGGGAAGUCGGAAUUAAGGCACCUCCAGAAUUCUGAGGUCAAGGGAAUGUCAACAGAGCUGUGAACAAAAUGCCCAAAGCCAUGAAAAUCUACAGAGAGAGACUCGAAGGGGAGGAAUGGGGCCAGGCUGAGGUCGGGAUGGUGGAGGAGGUGGUGGAGGUGAUGAGGUACCAGAGCAACCUCGAAGAAAGCUGAGAGGCAGGAGACCGCCAAAGGCAAACUUGGAACACCUGGUGACUCCGACUAACUCUCCAUGUGGUGUCCUUGAGGACUUUUAUGAUACUGCUACCACUGCUAAUAGUAAUAAAAGCCACUAUUUAAUGUGUUUACUAUGCGCUGGGUGUGCAAAUAUUGUGGAAAGAGUGAACAUAUGUGCAGAAUGCUUAAUAAACGUGAUCUCCUUUUAUCUUCAAAA
rnacentral:lncRNA from 1 species